UACGAAGGGGGCUAGCGUUGCUCGGAAUCACUGGGCGUAAAGCGCACGUAGGCGGCUUUCUAAGUCAGGGGUGAAAUCCUGGAGCUCAACUCCAGAACUGCCUUUGAUACUGGAGAGCUUGAGUCCGGAAGAGGUGAGUGGAACUCCGAGUGUAGAGGUGAAAUUCGUAGAUAUUCGCAAGAACACCAGUGGCGAAGGCGGCUCACUGGCCCGAUACUGACGCUGAGGCACGAAAGCGUGGGGAGCAACAGG
rnacentral:rRNA from 1 species